rnacentral:rRNA from 1 species
GACGAACGCUGGCGGCGUGCUUAACGCAUGCAAGUCGAACGGAGAGGCCCUGCUUUUGUGGGGUGCUCGAGUGGCGAACGGGUGAGUAACACGUGAGUAACCUGCCCUUGACUUUGGGAUAACUUCAGGAAACUGGGGCUAAUACCGGAUAGGAGCUCCUGCUGCAUGGUGGGGGUUGGAAAGUUUCGGCGGUUGGGGAUGGACUCGCGGCUUAUCAGCUUGUUGGCGGGGUAGUGGCUUACCAAGGCUUUGACGGGUAGCCGGCCUGAGAGGGUGACCGGCCACAUUGGGACUGAGAUACGGCCCAGACUCCUACGGGAGGCAGCAGUGGGGAAUAUUGCACAAUGGGCGGAAGCCUGAUGCAGCAACGCCGCGUGCGGGAUGACGGCCUUCGGGUUGUAAACCGCUUUCGCCUGUGACGAAGCGUGAGUGACGGUAAUGGGUAAAGAAGCACCGGCUAACUACGUG